GGCCUGGUGGUCUAGUAGUAUGAUUCCUUCUUAGGGCGGUUCAAUCAGCAUUUGGAGGAGGUCCCGGGUUCAAUUCCCGGCCAGGCCC